AUUUAAAGAAAGCGUAAUAGCUCACUGGUCGAGUCGGCCUGCGCGGAAGAUGUAACGGGGCUAAACCAUGCACCGAAGCUGCGGCAGCGACACUCAGGUGUUGUUGGGUAGGGGAGCGUUCUGUAAGUCUGCGAAGGUGGCCUGUGAGGGUUGCUGGAGGUAUCAGAAGUGCGAAUGCUGACAUAAGUAACGAUAAAGCGGGUGAAAAGCCCGCUCGCCGGAAGACCAAGGGUUCCUGUCCAACGUUAAUCGGGG
rnacentral:rRNA from 1 species